rnacentral:lncRNA from 1 species
CAGAGCUCCAAGACCCAGUUCUAUGCCUGGUGAGAGUGUGACUGAGAAACAACUACAGCACCAGUCCAGGCACAUUCAUCAGAGCAGUGUUUUCCAAAGCUCAAGUCUGAAACCAUUAGUGGUUCAUGUCAUCAAUUUAAUGAGCUGAAAGAGGCCACCAGCAGAGGACACCCAAGAAGUCCUUACAACUGGUAGAGGAAGCAAGGAGAAGACAAAAAGGGGAAAAUGCCCAUCCACCCCACACUGCUAAAUCUGUGAGAUGACUGGUUUUUACCAAAAUGAAAUUAAAAUUGAAGUG